rnacentral:rRNA from 1 species
AAUGGGUCAGCGACUUAUAUUCUGUAGCAAGGUUAACCGAAUAGGGGAGCCGAAGGGAAACCGAGUCUUAACUGGGCGUUAAGUUGCAGGGUAUAGACCCGAAACCCGGUGAUCUAGCCAUGGGCAGGUUGAAGGUUGGGUAACACUAACUGGAGGACCGAACCGACUAAUGUUGAAAAAUUAGCGGAUGACUUGUGGCUGGGGGUGAAAGGCCAAUCAAACCGGGAGAUAGCUGGUUCUCCCCGAAAGCUAUUUAGGUAGCGCCUCGUGAAUUCAUCUCCGGGGGUAGAGCACUGUUUCGGCAAGGGGGUCAUCCCGACUUACCAACCCGAUGC